rnacentral:rRNA from 1 species
GGAUUGCCUCAGUAACGGCGAGUGAAGCGGCAACAGCUCAAAUUUGAAAUCUGGCGCAAGCCCGAGUUGUAAUUUGUAGAGGAUGUUUCGGGUGAAGCCACGGUCCAAGUCCCUUGGAACAGGACGUCAUAGAGGGUGAGAACCCCGUACCUGGCCGUCGGCUCCCCCCGCUGUGAAACUCCUUCGACGAGUCGAGUUGUUUGGGAAUGCAGCUCUAAAUUGGUGGUAAAUUCCAUCUAAAGCUAAAUACCGGCCAGAGACCGAUAGCGCACAAGUAGAGUGAUCGAAAGAUGAAAAGCACUUUGAAAAGAGAGUUAAAAAGUACGUGAAAUUGUUGAAAGGGAAGCGCUUGCGGCCAGACUUGCCCGCGGUUGCUCAGCCCGCCUUUUGGCGGGUGCACUCUUCCGCGGUCAGGCCAGCAUCGGUUUGGGCGGUCGGAUAAAGGCGUUGGGAACGUGGCCUCCCCUCGGGGAGGUGUUAUAGCCCGGCGCGCAAUGCGACCAGCCCGGACCGAGGUUCGCGCUUUGCUAGGAUGCUGGCGUAAUGGCCGUAAGCGGCCCGUCUUGAAACACGGACCAAGGAGUCUAACAUCUAUGCGAGUGUUUGGGUGUCAAACCCGUGCGCGUAAUGAAAGUGAACGGAGGUGGGAACCGCAAGGUGCACCAUCGACCGAUCCUGAUGUCUUCGGAAGGAUUUGAGUAAGAGCAUAGCUGUUGGGACCCGAAAGAUGGUGAACUAUGCGUGAAUAGGGUGAAGCCAGAGGAAACUCUGGUGGAGGCUCGCAGCGGUUCUGACGUGCAAAUCGAUCGUCAAAUUUGCGUAUAGG